GAUCGAUAAUAAGGGUAAAGUCGUAACAAGGCAUCCGUAGGGGAACCUGUGGAUGGAUCACCUCCUUU
rnacentral:ncRNA from 1 species